rnacentral:snRNA from 1 species
CGAGAUUCCCACUGUCCCUG